UCCAUUUAGAGCUUGUAAAUUUAAGCAUUUCUCUUACACAGAAAAGAAACUUGUGAAAAACAAAUUAUUUGGAA
rnacentral:tRNA from 1 species